GCGGGGCGCCCCUAGGGUUCCGUCUCCGGCAACGGAGGGCCUGGUCCGAGAGGGGAGGCGGUCGCACAGAGAUGUACGACCGUUCCACGGCGGGACAAAAGCCCGGGAGGC
rnacentral:sRNA from 2 species